GUCAAUCACCCACUAAUGAAUUGAUGGGCUUGUUUCGUGAGAGAUAAGGGAAACUGGUUGAUUAGGGGCUUUGAAAACAAAACAAAAUGCGAGAACAAAAACAAAAGUUAUCAGGAGAGUUAAAGGACACACCUGCGGAUACUUCUCUAUUCUGUAGCUCUGUA
rnacentral:sRNA from 24 species